UUGCUGUGGUGGGUAGUAAUACUAUC
rnacentral:piRNA from 1 species